rnacentral:rRNA from 1 species
AAUAUUGGGCAAUGGGGGCAACCCUGAUCCAGCCAUGCCGCGUGUGUGAAGAAGGUCUUCGGAUUGUAAAGCACUUUAAGUUGGGAGGAAGGGCUUUAGGUUAAUACCCUGAAGUUUUGACGUUACCAACUGAAUAAGCACCGGCUAACUUCGUGCAAGCAGCAGCGGUAAUACAGAGGGUGCAAGAGUUAAUCGGAAUUACUGGGCGUAAAGCGCACGUAGGUGGUUCAGUAAGAUGGGUGUGAACUCCCCGGGCUUAACCUGGGAACUGCUUUCAUAACUGCUGAGCUAGAGUACGGUAGAGGGUAGUGGAAUUUCCUGUGUAGCGGUGAAAUGCGUAGAUAUAGGAAGGAACACCAGUGGCGAAGGCGACUACCUGGACUGAUACUGACACUGAGGUGCGAAAGCGUGGGGAGCAAA